rnacentral:rRNA from 1 species
AGUAACGCGUGGGUAACCUGCCUCAUACGAGGGGGAAACGAUUAGAAACGAUUGCUAAUACCGCAUAAGCGCACAGUACCACAUGGUGCAGUGUGAAAAACUCCGGUGGUAUGAGAUGGACCCGCGUCUGAUUAGCUAGUUGGUGAGGUAACGGCCCACCAAGGCAACGAUCAGUAGCCGACCUGAGAGGGUGACCGGCCACAUUGGGACUGAGACACGGCCCAG